GUUGCGGUGCGCGGGCUUUUCAUUGCGGUGGCUUCUCUUGCUGUGGAGCACGGGCUCCAGGCGCGCAGGCUUCACUAGUUGUGGUCUGUGGGCUCAGUAGUUGUGGCUUUCGGGCUGUAGAGCGCAGGCUUGGUAGUUGUGGCGCACGGGCCUAGUUGCUCCGUGGCAUGUGGGAUCUUCCAGGACCAGGGAUUGAACCCAUGUCCCCUGCAUUGGCAGGCAGAUUCUUAACCACUGAGCCACCAGGGAAGUCCCAAGGACAGUGUUUCUUAAAGAGUGAUCCAUGAUCAAUCCUGGAGGGUCGGUAAAAGCUGCAGAUUCCAAAGACCGGAGUGAUUCAGGAUUUCUGGGGGUUAGGCCAGGGAAGCAUUUGUACAACACGCUCCCCUGAUGAUCUAGGCAUAAUAGUUUGAAAUUCACUGCUCUUUCACCAAUUCCGUUUGCAAUUUUUUUUUUUUUUUUUUUUUUUUUUUAAGGAAAAAGGUGCGCCAAGAAUAUAAGAGGGAAAAAAUAGGAGCGGUGGGGAGUGAGUCGUUCAAAGCUCUGUCCAGGAACCUGGCAGCGCUGGUGCUGUUGGCCUAUUUCGGCCCAGUAGGAACACUUGGGAGAGAAGAGAAAUAAGUCUGGGACGCCCCACGAGACCGUUAAAAGGUCGGGAGUCAACGGUCGAGGCCACGGCCCUCGGGGCCGCCAGGUCACAGGAAGUGCAGGACAAGCCCUGAGCAGCAAAGCAGACCCAGAUGCCCCGGGGCUCCCGGGAGCGGUGGGGAGUCAGGCGGCCGCUCCACUUCCGUUACCAUUGGCAACGGCGGCCUCCACCAAAGUCGGCGUGGCACGAAAAGGAGGGACUUCCCGGCUCUGGGAGCAAAUGCGCAUGCGGCUGUCGGCCGGUCACAAGGCACUUCCUGUCGCGUGAUCUUGAGGACCAAUAAAAGUGUAUAAUUCCAGGGUCACGUGCGUCGGUUGCCAUUAGCAACCGGAGGCUUCUAAACAACCCGCCCUCCCUCCGAGUCCUCUGCGGGCCAACUUCUCUUGGAGACGCCGGGCCUGGCGAAGCUGCGCCCGGCCUCUCUCGCUUUUCCGGACCGCUGACUCCUGUACGCCGCCAUGGCAGAGUUGGGUCUAAAUGAGCACCAUCAAAAUGAAGUUAUUAAUUACAUGCGUUUUGCUCGUUCAAAAAGAGGCUUGAGACUCAAAACUGUAGAUUCCUGCUUCCAAGACCUCAAGGAGAGCAGGCUGGUGGAGGAGACCUUCACCAUAGACGAAGUCUCUGAAGUCCUGAAUGGGUUACAGGCCGUGGUCCACAGCGAGGUGGAGUCGGAGCUCAUCAACACGGCCUACACCAAUGUGCUACUUCUGCGGCAGCUUUUCUCACAAGCUGAGAAGUGGUACCUCAGGCUACAGACAGACAUCUCUGAACUUGAAAACAGAGAAUUAUUGGAACAAGUUGCAGAAUUUGAAAAAGCAGAAUUUACAUCUUCAAAUCAAAAGCCCAUCAGAGAUAACAUAAAACCAAAACUUGCUCCACUUAACGAAGGUGGAACAGCAGAACUCCUUAACAAGGAAAUUUUAAGACUUCAAGAAGAGAAUGAGAAAUUAAAGUCAAGGCUGAAGACCCUUGAAACACAGGCAACAAAUGCAUUGGAUGAGAAGUCAAAACUAGAAAGAGCACUGCAAGAUUUACAGCUUGAUCAAGGAACUCAAAAGGAUUUUAUAAAGGCCCAAGACUUGAGUGACUUGGAAAACACAGUUGCUGCUUUAAAGAGUGAGUUUCAGAAGACACUUAAUGACCAGACAGAAAACCAGAAGUCCCUGGAGGAGAAUCUAGCGACGGCCAAGCAUGACCUACUCAGGGUGCAGGAGCAGCUGAGCAUGGCUGAAAAGGAAUUAGAGAAAAAAUUCCAACAAACAGCAGCUUAUCGAAACAUGAAAGAGAUUCUCACCAAGAAGAAUGACCAAAUCAAAGACCUGAGGAAAAGAUUGGCGAAAUAUGAACCUGAAGAUUAAAAACUGAAGAAGAUUUCGUCUGGAAGCUGCCACAACAUGAAAGUACAAGCUGUUUCUCACCUCAGUCCACGGACUUGAGGAGCCCCCAAAUGAGCAGGCAGCAGUCAUAACUUUGGGUCAAGUAGAACCCUUACUGUGUCUAGAAACAUUAAUCUCCAGUGCCUAAAGCUGUGGAAUCAUGAAGCACAAAAUCCCCACAUUUGAUCCUUCUGGGAUCCUGGCCUCCGUCAAACCAUUCACCGCUUUCAAAAGUCCAUAUAUAGGGGCUUCCCUGGUGGCACAGUGGUUAGGAAUCCAUCUGCUAAUGCAGGGCACAAGGGUUUGAGCCCUGGUCCGGGAAGAUCCCACAUGCCGUGGAGCAACUAAGCCCAUGCACCGCAACUACUGAGCCUGUGCUCUAGAUCCUGCGAGCCACAACUACUGAGCCCGUGUGCCACAACUUCUGAAGCCCAUGCACCUAGAGCUCGUGCUCCACAACAAGAGAAGCCACCACAAUGAGAAGCCUGCACACUGCAAAGAAGAGUAACCCCACUCGCCGCAACUAGAGAAAGACCGUGCGCAGCUACAAAGACCCAAUGCAGCCAAAAAUAAAUAAAUUUAUUUUUUUUAAAAAAAGUCCAUAUAUAUUCUUACGUCUGACCUCUUCUCCCUCCACACCAGAUUGAUUAAGU